rnacentral:rRNA from 1 species
GUGCACCAGUCGAGAAAACUUCACAAUGUGCGAAAGCACGAUGAGGGAAUCCCAAGUGCUUGCACGUAAGUGUAAGCUGUUUCUCUGUCUAAAACGCAGAGAGAGUAAGGGCUGGGUAAGACGGGUGCCAGCCGCCGCGGUAAUACCUGCAGCUCGAGUGGUGACCGUUAUUAUUGGGCCUAAAACGUCCGUAGCCGGUUUAAUAAAUGCCUGGGUAAAUCGGACCGCUUAACGGUUCGAAUUCCGGGUAGACUGUUAAACUUGAGACCGGGAGAAGUUAGAGGUACUCCUGGGGUAGAGGUGAAAUUCUGUAAUCCUAGGGGGACCACCAGUGGCGAAGGCGUCUAACUAGAACGGGUCUGACGGUGAGGGACGAAGCCCUGGGGCGCAAACGGGAUUAGA